UUUCACUUUGGGAUGAUAACACAGGUUUGGAAUGGAUACUGGUGAUAGUUGCACAACAAUGUAUUUCUACUUAAUGUACUUAAAUUUUCUCUUAUACAUAUUUCACCACAGAAAAAAAAUUAGCAAAUAUUUAAAAAUCUACAUGUUUCUUUGAACUGUUUCUUUACGUCCCUUGUCCAUUUUUCAAUUUGGCUGUUGGUCUUUUAAUAAUUUAGGAUAGCUAUAUAGCUAUAUAUAUACAUAUAUAUUACACAAAUUAGCUUUUUGUCUGUCAUGUAUGUUGCAGAUCUGUUUCCCCAGUCUGUUGACUUUUGACUUUGAUGCAUUUUUCUUGCCUAUAAAGUUUUAAUUUUUAUGGAGUCAAAUGCAUCAGUCUUCUAUUCAAAGACUUAUUUAUGGGUUUGGUGUUUCAGUUUAGGAUGAAAAAGAAGUUGUAGAUAUGGAUAAAGGAGAUGGUUGUACAACACAUUAUAUUGGACCACUCAACUGUACGUUUAAACAUGGUUAAAAUGGGAGCUAUGAAAUACGUGAGCUGCGCAAGUGAUGCACAAGGAAACGGAAGCAGUAUGACCUUUACACAGUGACCUGGCUCAAAUAAUUUCAGGCUGUCAUUAACCAGGCGAGCUCCACUUUCUCUCUGAGGUUGGGUGUUAAUCUGAUGUGGUGCUCUUGGAGAAGCUUGCUUGAGUUCGGCGCUUUCUCAGCACGUGGUGUGUGCUGCCCCUUCAAGCUGCAGGAGUCCCAGAAACUCUCCUGGCUUCUAUCCAAAGCUGUGUUCCAGGUGGGGAACACCUAUGGAUGCACCAGGGUGCAACUACUCAGAGUCCAGUGUGCAGAAGGGCCCCUGCUCUAUGCUGUUUCCGUAUCCAAGCCCAAGCUCUUCUAGAGCUUCAGCAAAUCCAAGCCUCCCUGAAUUCCCUGCAAGACCAAACUGAGCCCUACAACCCCCACCACUCUGGUUAGCUGCCAGUCCCAGCCCCUGUUCCCUCCUGGGCCCCUGUCUGUACAGUUCUGAAGUCCUACAAGAAUGUUGAGAUCCUAAGCCGACUCUCACCCAAAGAGGUAAACAACCAGGGGCCUCCAGGUUGAGAGAAUAUACCCAGACAGGUUCUGCUGCCUGUAGGCUUGAUGUCUUUCCCCUACAACACGCCUUGCUUGCCAGGCUGGAAGAGGGGCUCCAGAAACUUGGGAAACCUGGGCCUGUAGCUGGCAUGUGGAAAAGAGGCCUGGAAAAGCACCAUUCCUGUCCAUGAAGCCCCCAGAUGGAACCAGGUCCUGUUCAGAAACCCCAUCUGUGCCUUUGGAGGGACUGCCCUGCGCACACAGGCCCAGCAACCACCAUCUACGGCCCCCAGGACCUAAUCCCCUUCUACUUGGGAUUCAGUGCAUGUUAGCAGACACUGGGCUUGAUUCCUGCCUAGUCCCUGCCAGAUAUCCCAUGCCCACCUCAUUAAGAGAAUGAGGCCACACAAACACACCCAGGCCAUCGUGAUGAUGGAGUGCCUGGGGUCCCACUUGCCCACCCUUCAUUGCUGGUUCAGAGCCAGCUCUGACCACAUUCCUACCCUGAGAUGGGACUCUGGGGACAUUGUCCACCAGGGUCACUGACCCCUUUUAACGUUCCAGAAACAUGGCCAGCUGGUCCCCUAGAAGUUU
rnacentral:lncRNA from 1 species